AUACCGGCGGACAGCCGGACGCGGGUAGCUUGGCCGUUCCUUGCUCUGCACAUCGCUUGAAAACCGGCGGUCAUCCUGCAGCGUACGCUGCCAGCGUGCUUUCUUGCCAGAGCCGCCUCCCCUGCUGGUGAUGACCAUAUGCAGCCAAUGCUGAUGUGAACCUGAGUGAUGAACAAAUGCAGAUCUGCAAAGGAGCUGUCCUGAAGCACCAUGCUUACUCAAGUCAUGCAGCGAGAGUCAGCAUGCCUGGAAAGGUACUUCAAAGCACACCCAAUCUGGCUGACUGCACUACCUCAAGAAAACUGCCUUUCUACCAUCUGCAAGUUCCUAAGAAGCUACUUUAUGAAGCAAGCCAGCAGGGCGUACGUGUUAGGCAUGGCAGCACGGAGAACAAAUAAACAUGAGUAUUUGGUGCAA
rnacentral:lncRNA from 1 species